rnacentral:rRNA from 1 species
ACGACCGCAAGGUUGAAACUCAAAGGAAUUGACGGGGGCCCGCACAAGCGGUGGAGCAUGUGGUUUAAUUCGAAGCAACGCGAAGAACCUUACCAGGUCUUGACAUCCUUUGACCACUCUGGAGACAGAGCUUUCCCUUCGGGGACAAAGUGACAGGUGGUGCAUGGUUGUCGUCAGCUCGUGUCGUGAGAUGUUGGGUUAAGUCCCGCAACGAGCGCAACCCUUGAUUUUAGUUGCCAGCAUUUAGUUGGGCACUCUAAAGUGACUGCCGGUGCAAGCCGGAGGAAGGUGGGGAUGACGUCAAAUCAUCAUGCCCCUUAUGACCUGGGCUACACACGUGCUACAAUGGAUAGUACAAAGGGUCGCGAAGCCGCGAGGUGGAGCUAAUCCCAUAAAACUAUUCUCAGUUCGGAUUGUAGGCUGCAACUCGCCUACAUGAAGCCGGAAUCGCUAGUAAUCGUGGAUCAGCAUGCCACGGUGAAUACGUUCCCGGGCCUUGUACACACCGCCCGUCACACCACGAGAGUUUGUAACACCCGAAGUCGGUAGGGUAACCUUUAUGGAGCCAGCCGCCGAAGGUGGGACAGAUAAUUGGGGUGAAGUCGUAACAAGGUAGCCGUAUCGGAAGGUGCGGCUGGAUCACCUCCUUUCUAAGGAA